rnacentral:rRNA from 1 species
UACGUAGGGGGCAAGCGUUGUCCGGAAUCAUUGGGCGUAAAGAGCGUGUAGGCGGCCCGGUAAGUCCGCUGUGAAAGUCCAGGGCUCAACCCUGGGAUGCCGGUGGAUACUGUCGGGCUCGAGUCCGGAAGAGGAGUGUGGAAUUCCUGGUGUAGCGGUGAAAUGUGCAGAUAUCAGGAGGAACACCAAUGGCGAAGGCAGCACUCUGGGACGUGACUGACGCUGAGACGCGAAAGCGUGGGGAGCAAACAGG